rnacentral:rRNA from 1 species
GCAAACCCGCUGAAUUUAAGCAUAUAAGUAAGCGGAGGAAAAGAAACUAAAUAGGAUUCCCUCAGUAAGGGCGACUGAACAGGGAUAAGCUCAGCAUGGAAAUCGGGGCCUCUGGCCUUGAAUUGUAGUCUCGAGUUGCAUUGCCAACGGAGGCGCAGAUGUAAGCCUCUUGGAAAAGAGCAUCAACGAGGGUGAGAGUCCCGUUUGUCAUCUGCAGUCCCCCGUGCACGGUAUGCUUCUAAAGAGUCACGUUCCUCGGGAUUGGAGCGCAAAGUGGGUGGUAAAUUUCAUCUAAAGCUAAAUAUAGGUUCGAGACCGAUAGCAAACAAGUACCAUGAGGGAAAGGUGAAAAGGACUUUGAAAAGAGAGUUAAAAGUGCCUGAAAUUGCUGAAAGGGAAGCGAAUGGAACCAGUGCUUCUUGGCAAGAUUGGUGCGUGCUAAUGUGAUUGGCUGCUGCAUCAGCGCAAGCGUUGCAGUGGUUUUUGAUCAGGAUGUGCGUGUUGUUUCUUGCCUUGUGUGUCAACGUCAGUUCUCAAUCGAGGAAAACGCCAGGGACAUGGUAGCUCUGCUGCGGUGGAGUGAAUGUGCUUGGUUGAACUCAUUUGUGGACUGGCUCAUGCGUGUCUGGUUGCAGUGUUUCGUGUUGCCGAAUUUUGUCUGAGUGUGGAUUUCCUCUCUCAGCUGAGUUUGGUAACUGGAGCAUCUCCCUGACACAACGACGCUGACUAAAUGGUUCUAUUCGACCCGUCUUGAAACACGGACCAAGGAGUCUAAC